CCUCCUUUCUAGAGAAAGAUGGUGAGUUACAAAAGGUAAAUUUUACUCUUUGCUGUUAAUUUUAUAAUAAAAAAAGUAUUAAGCUAUUAUAGUCUCGUAGCUCAGCUGGUUAGAGCGCUACACUGAUAAUGUAGAGGUCGGCAGUUCGAGUCUGCCCGGGACUACAAAUACUUACUACUUAAAGGAAAUUCUAGAAGUUGGAGUAAUUAGGAUACUAAUUACAGAUCACUAAUUACUAACUACUAGUAAAUGGGGGAUUAGCUCAGCUGGCUAGAGCGCUUGCCUUGCACGCAAGAGGUCAUCGGUUCGACUCCGAUAUUCUCCACAACGAUUUUACUUUUUUUAAAUAAGGAGUAGUAUCACAAGUUCAUUGACAUAUUGGUAAAAUGAUAUCGUAAGAAUCAAAUAGAUUGAGAACGUUUAGAUUUUAAUCUAAACAAUUUAUAUUAAAAUAUAAAAGAGCUCGUUGCAGUAUUUAUACUGUAGCAAAAAGUACAAUAAGUUAAGUAAGGGCGUAUGGCGGAUGCCUAGGCUCUCAAAAACGACCAAGGACGUGAU
rnacentral:misc_RNA from 1 species